rnacentral:lncRNA from 1 species
UAUUAUCAACGAUUUCCACAUAAGGUGGCAAGAUGAUAUCUUGAGCAGUUACAUAUCCAGGACCCUUGACACAAAUAGACGCCUCAGAAGUUCCAUAUAAAUUACUUCUCAAUACAAUCUCUUUCAAAUUCAUUAAAAUUUCAUGUACCGAUUCUUGAAUGCCCGUUAUGGUAGAAUAUUCAUGUGGUACUUUCUCAGAUUUUACACGUGUGAUACAUGUUCCUUCUAUUUCCCCAAGUAAAGCUCUUCGCAUCGCAAUGCCUAUUGUGUCGGCUUGGCCUUUCAUAAGUGGAGACAGAAUAAAGCGUCCAUAAUAAAGGCGUUUACUGUCUGUUCUUGAUUCAACACACUUCCACUGUAGUGUCCGAGUAGAUACUGUUACUUUCUCUCGAACCAUAGUACUAUUAUUUGAUUAGAUCAUCGAAUCUUUUAUUUCUCUUGAGAUUUCUUCAAUGUUCAGUUCUACACACGUCUUUUUUUCGGAGGUCUACAGCCAUUAUGUGGCAUCGGAGUUACAUCCCGUACGAAAGUUAAUAGUAUACCACUGCGACGAAUAGCUCGUAAUGCUGCAUCUCUUCCGAGACCGGGACCUUUUAUCAUGACUUCUGCUCGUUGCAUACCUUGAUCCACUACUGUACGGAUAGCGUUUGCUGCUGCGGUUUGAGCAGCAAACGGUGUUCCUCUUCUCGUACCUUUGAAUCCAGAAGUACCAGCUGAGGACCAAGAAACUACUCGACCCCGUACAUCUGUAACAGUGACAAUGGUAUUAUUGAAACUUGCUUGAACAUGAAUAACUCCCUUUGGUAUUCUACGUGCACCCUUACGUGAACUAAUACGUCCAUUCCGACGCGAACUAAUUUUCGGUAUAGCUUUUGCCAUAUUUUAUCAUCUCGUAAAUAUGAGUCAGAGAUAUAUGGAUAUAUCCAUUUCAUGUCAAAACAGAUUCUUUAUUUGUACAUCGGCUCUUCUGGCAAGUCUGAUUAGCCCUGUCUUUGUUUAUGUCUCGGGUUGGAACAAAUUACUAUAAUGCGCCCCCUCCUACGGAUUAGUCGACAUUUUUCACAAAUUUUACGAACGGAAGCUCUUAUUUUCAUAUUUAUCAUUCCUUACCUUAAUUCUGAAUCUAUUUCUUGGAAGAAAAUAAGUUUCUUGAAAUUUUUCAUCUCGAAUUGUAUUCCCACGAAAGGAAUGGUGAAGUUGAAAACCUAAUCCUUCAAAUCUUUGUUGUGGAGUCGAUAAAUUAUAUGUCCUUUGGUUGAAUCAUAAGGACUUACUUCAAUUUUGACUCUAUCUCCUGGCAGUAUCUGUAUAAAACAAAGUUCCUUUGAGGUAUCAACUAAUGCGAAAGAUAUUAGAUAACUCUCCCCCCCUUUUUCGCAAAUAGGAAGUUUCGAAUUCAAUUUGCAUAUUAUAAAGGAUUACCAGAUAUAACACAAAAUUUCUCCACCUAUUCCUUCUAGUCGAGCCUCUCGGUCUGUCAUUAUACCUCGAGAAGUAGAAAGAAUUACAAUCCCCAUUCCACCUAAAAUUCGCGGAAUUCGUUGAUAAUUAGAAUAGAUUCGUAGACCAGGUCGACUGAUUCGUUUUAAAUUUAAAAUAUUUCUAUAGGGUCUUUUCCUAUUCCUUCUAUGUCGCAGGGUUAAAACCAAAAAGUAUUUGUUGUUUUCUCGAUGUUUUCUCACGUUUUCGAUAAAACCCUCUCGUAAAAGUAUUUGAACAAUAUUUUCGGUAAUAUUAGUAGAUGCUAUUCGAACCACCCUUUUUCGAUCCAUAUCAGCAUUUCGUAUAGAAGUUAUUAUCUCAGCAAUAGUGUCCCUGCCCAUGAUGAACUAAAAUUAUUGGGGUCUCCAAAUUUGAUAUAAUCAACGUGUUUUUUACUUAUUUAUUUUUGAAUAUGAUAUGAAUUAUUAAAGAUAUAUGCGUGAGACACAAUCUACUAAUUAAUCUAUUUCUUUCAAAUACCCCACUCGAAACAGAUCACAAUUUCAUUUUAUAAUACCUCGGGAGCUAAUGAAACUAUUUUAGUAAAAUUUAAUUCUCUCAAUUCCCGGGCGAUUGCACCAAAAAUUCGAGUUCCUUUUGGAUUUCCUUCUUGAUCAAUAACAACUGCAGCAUUGUCAUCGUAUCGUAUUAUCAUCCCGUUGUCACGUUUGAGUUCUUUACAGGUACGCACAAUUACAGCUCUGACUACUUCUGAUCUUUCUAGGGGCAUAUUUGGUACUGCUUCUUUGAUCACAGCAACAAUAACGUCACCAAUAUGAGCAUAUCGACGAUUGCUAGCUCCUAUGAUUCGAAUACACAUCAAUUCUCGAGCCCCGCUAUUAUCCGCUACAUUUAAAUGGGUCUGAGGUUGAAUCAUUUUUUUAAUCCGUUCUUUGAAUGCAAAGGGCGAAGAAAAAAAAAGAAAUAUUUUUGUCCAAAAAAAAGAAACAUGCGGUUUUCUUUCAUAUCUAAGAGCCCUUUCUACAUUUUUUUCUAUUACAUUACGAAAUAAUGAAUUGAGUUCGUAUAGGCAUUUUGGAUGCUGCUAGUGAAAUAGCCCUUCUGGCUAUAUUUUCUGUUACUCCACCCAUUUCAUAAAGUAUUCGCCCCGGUUUAACAACAGCUACCCAAUAUUCAGGGGAUCCUUUUCCUGAACCCAUACGGGUUUCUGCCGGUCUUAAUGUAACAGGUUUGUCUGGAAAUAUACGUACCCAUAUUUUUCCACCACGACGUGCAUUUCGUGUCAUUGCCCGUCGGCCUGCUUCUAUUUGUCGAGAUGUAAUCCAAGCAGGUUCAAGUGCCUGAAGAGCAUAUUUACCGAAAGAAAUACGAUUACCUCGAUAAGAUAUUCCCUUCAUUCUGCCUCUAUGUUGUUUACGGAAUCUGGUUCUUUUGGGGUUAUAGUUGAUGGUUGGUUCUGAAUUCCAUCUCUACUACAGAACCGGACGUGAGAGUUUCUUCUCAUCCAGCUCCUCGCAAAUAAAAGGAUUCAAAAAAAUUCAAUUUGAAUUAAGCUAGAAUAGUAAAUCUUAAGUUAAGAUAUAUAAGAUAUGUAUUUACUGAGUAAUACCUUGAACGUGGGCUUCUUUGAGAUUUCAUUAAAUCUAUUAGUAAUUUGUAUAUCUUGUUUGAAUAGAUAACUAAACUUUGUAGUUUUCUAAAGAGAAAUAAAAAAAAUUGUAUUAUUAUACCAAAUCCUUAUUUUGUCCUUUAUUGUAUUGUCCUAAAUUUUGCAAUAAAAAAGUUUUCGCGGGCGAAUAUUUACUCUUUCAAUCCCUAUUUCAUUUGUAGGGUUAACUCGUGACUUCUCAGAUCUCAGAAUACAUGAAUUAAUCUAUGGUUCGUUCCGCCAUCCCGACCAGUGAAUCAUUAAGAUUCCUUUUUCAAUAGAAUCUUUUGCAUUCACAAGUUCCGUCGUUCCCAUCACUUCUUACUUAAUGGUUAGGUCCGAAUUCUACAAUGGAGCUCAGAAUCAAAUUGGUUCUUGAGUCAAUCUUCUUAGUCUUUAUUGGCUCGAAGCUCUUGAUUUUUUGUUCUAUUUCUAUAAGAAGAUUCUUUUUAGUAUGGUAUGAAUGCGUAUUGAUGCUUUAUUACACUGUCUUUUAUGAGAUUACUCAUAGACCUUACAUAUUGGAAUUUUAUAUCAUUGGUAUUCUUUUUCUCUCUUUCUCUCAUCCUUCCCUUUAUCCACAUCUUUUUUGUCUAUUUUGCUUUACAACUUAGAAGCAGAUUUUUUGUUUAUGCAAAAGAUUUCAGUUGCUACAAAGAUAUGACCUAUAUAUCAUAUCUUGACUGGUUCUUUAGAUCCAGAUAAUGCGAAGUGAUGGGUUGGUUAUUAGUUCUAUAGUUUUUAGUUCAUACUAUGUGGGCUGGGUUUUUUUAAUCCUAACCCUAACAAAACCCACGAGUCACACACUAAGCAUAGCAAUUAUAUCAAAUGGUCAAUCGAAUUUUUAUUCAACCUUAUAGAAUUAAGAAUUAGAAAGAAUUAAGAAUUAGAAAUGUUCCCCUUGAUUAGAAAAAGAAUGAAUUGGUCUUUUUUUUUGUUCAAUCAUUGGAUAGAAGGGAAAGACAAGUAGUAAAAUUAUUCCUCGUCUAGAAAUAUCCAAAUUUUGAUGCCCAAUAUUCCAUAGAUAGUUCGAACUGUAUAAGAGCAAUAAUCAAUUUUAGCUCGAAUCGUUUGUAGGGGAACCCUGCCUUCUCUGAUCCAUUCGACACGUGCAAUUUCUUUUCCGUCGAUACGCCCCGCAAUUUGUAUUUGAAUUCCUUUUGUAUCCGCUUGUUCUGUUAAUUCAAUAGCCUUUUUCAUUGCUUUUCGAAAUGAAACUCUAUUCUUUAAUUGUCCAGCUAUAAAUUCUGCAAGAAUAUUAGGGUUUCCGUAAGGUUUUGCAAUUCUUGUGACAGCAAUGUUCAGUUUUCGGUUUACACAAUUAAAUUCUUUUUGUAAGGUCAUUUGUAAUUCUUCGAUUCCGCGCGGUCGACUUUCUAUUAAUAAUUUUGGGAAUCCCAUAAAGAUUAUGACCUGGAUCAGAUCGAUUCUUUUUUGAAUCUCUAUACGUGCAAUUCCCUCGAUGCCAGAGGACGUUCUCAUAUUUUUUUGUACAUAAUUCUUGAUACAAUCUCUGAUUUUUUUAUCUUCUUGUAAACCCUCAGAAUAAUUUUUGGGUUGUGAAAACCAAAGGGAAUGAUGACCUUGGGUUGUACCCAGUCUGAAACCAAGUGGAUUUAUUUUUUGUCCCAUAAUCCCCCGCUAUUAUACAUAUCACGAUACGUCAUAGCUGUAGAUUUUUUUUUCCAUCUCGUUUUUUUUAACGAAGACAUCUCGCCAUAUUCAUCAUCUAAAGAUAUAUCUUUCAUUACAAUAGUUAUAUGACAGGUCGAUCUUUUUAUCGGAAAACUACGUCCUCGAGCUCGAGGUUUCAAUUUCUUCACAGUAGUACCUUCAUUGACUUCGGCUUUACUAAUGACUAAAUUGGUUUCGCUGGAACCCAUAUUGUAACUAGCAUUUGCUGCUGCAG